rnacentral:rRNA from 1 species
GAGAGGUAACGGCUCACCAAGGCAUCGACGGGUAGCUGGUCUGAGAGGAUGAUCAGCCACACUGGAACUGAGACACGGUCCAGACUCCUACGGGAGGCAGCAGUGGGGAAUCUUGCACAAUGGGCGCAAGCCUGAUGCAGCGAUGCCGCGUGCGGGAAGAAGGCCUUAGGGUUGUAAACCGCUUUCAGGAGGGAAGAAAAUGACGGUACCUCCAGAAGAAGGUGCGGCCAACUACGUGCCAGCAGCCGCGGUGACACGUAGGCACCAAGCGUUAUCCGGAUUUAUUGGGCGUAAAGAGCUCGUAGGCGGUUUGGUAAGUCGGGUGUGAAAACUCUGGGCUCAACCCAGAGAGGCCACUCGAUACUGCUAUGACUAGAGUACGGUAGGGGAGCGGGGAAUUCCUGGUGUAGCGGUGAAAUGCGCAGAUAUCAGGAGGAACACCAGCGGCGAAGGCGCCGCUCUGGGCCGUAACUGACGCUGAGGAGCGAAAGCAUGGGUAGCAAACAGGAUUAGAUACCCUGGUAGUCCAUGCCGUAAACGUUGGGCACUAGGUGUGGGUCUCAACCAACGAGAUCCGCGCCGUCGCUAACGCAUUAAGUG